rnacentral:rRNA from 1 species
ACGAACGCUGGCGGCGCGCUUAACACAUGCAAGUCGAACGGUAACGGGCCUUCGGGUGCCGACGAGUGGCGAACGGGUGAGUAACGCGUAGAUACCUGUCCUAUGGUGGGGAAUAACGUUUAGAAAUGAACGCUAAUACCGCAUAAGCCCUACGGGGGAAAGAUUUAUCGCAACAAGAGGGGCCCGCGUCAGAUUAGGUUGUUGGUGGGGUAAUGGCCUACCAAGCCUACGAUCUGUAGCUGGUCUAAGAGGAUGGUCAGCCACACUGGGACUGAGACACGGCCCAGACUCCUACGGGAGGCAGCAGUGAGGAAUCUUGGACAAUGGGGGCAACCCUGAUCCAGCGAUGCCGCGUGAGUGAAGAAGGUCUUCGGAUUGUAAAACUCUUUCGACAGGGAAGAUGAUGACGGUACCUGUAGAAGAAGCCCCGGCUAACUCCGU